GUGGGGAAUAUUGCACAAUGGGGGAAACCCUGAUGCAGCGACGCCGCGUGAGCGAAGAAGUAUUUCGGUAUGUAAAGCUCUAUCAGCAGGGAAGAAAGAAAUGACGGUACCUGACUAAGAAGCCCCGGCUAACUACGUGCCAGCAGCCGCGGUAAUACGUAGGGGGCAAGCGUUAUCCGGAUUUACUGGGUGUAAAGGGAGCGCAGGCGGCGCGUCAAGUCUGGUGUGAAAGCCCGGGGCUCAACCCCGGGACUGCAUUGGAAACUGUCGUGCUUGAGUGUCGGAGAGGUAAGUGGAAUUCCUAGUGUAGCGGUGAAAUGCGUAGAUAUUAGGAGGAACACCAGUGGCGAAGGCGGCUUACUGGACGACAACUGACGCUGAGGCUCGAAAGCGUGGGGAGCAAACAGGA
rnacentral:rRNA from 1 species